rnacentral:rRNA from 1 species
ACGAACGCUGGCGGCGUGCCUAAUACAUGCAAGUUGAGCGAUGAAGAUUGGUGCUUGCACCAAUUUGAAGAGCAGCGAACGGGUGAGUAACGCGUGGGGAAUCUGCCUUUGAGCGGGGGACAACAUUUGGAAACGAAUGCUAAUACCGCAUAACAACUUUAAACAUAAGUUUUAAGUUUGAAAGAUGCAAUUGCAUCACUCAAAGAUGAUCCCGCGUUGUAUUAGCUAGUUGGUGAGGUAAAGGCUCACCAAGGCGAUGAUACAUAGCCGACCUGAGAGGGUGAUCGGCCACAUUGGGACUGAGACACGGCCCAAACUCCUACGGGAGGCAGCAGUAGGGAAUCUUCGGCAAUGGACGAAAGUCUGACCGAGCAACGCCGCGUGAGUGAAGAAGGGUUUCGGAUCGUAAAACUCGGUUGGUAGAGAAGAACGUUGGUGAGAGUGGAAAGCUCAUCAAGUGACGGUAACUACCCAGAAAGGGACGGCUAACUACGUG